AUUGAACGCUGGCGGCAGGCCUAACACAUGCAAGUCGAACGGUAACAGGGAGCAGCUUGCUGCUUCGCUGACGAGUGGCGGACGGGUGAGUAAUGUCUGGGAAGCUGCCUGAUGGAGGGGGAUAACUACUGGAAACGGUAGCUAAUACCGCAUAAUGUCGCAAGACCAAAGAGGGGGACCUUCCGGCCUCUUGCCAUCGGAUGUGCCCAGAUGGGAUUAGCUUGUUGGUGGGGUAACGGCUCACCAAGGCGACGAUCCCUAGCUGGUCUGAGAGGAUGACCAGCCACACUGGAACUGAGACACGGUCCAGACUCCUACGGGAGGCAGCAGUGGGGAAUAUUGCACAAUGGGCGCAAGCCUGAUGCAGCCAUGCCGCGUGUAUGAAGAAGGCCUUCGGGUUGUAAAGUACUUUCAGCGGGGAGGAAGGGAGUAAAGUUAAUACCUUUGCUCAUUGACGUUACCCGCAGAAGAAGCACCGGCUAACUCCGUG
rnacentral:rRNA from 1 species